rnacentral:lncRNA from 1 species
AAAAUUGUGCUACAAAGUAGUUUCUCACUUAAUUUUGUAUGAUAACUGAUUCUUUAAGGCAUAACGUCGAAGGUAAAAGCUGCGUCUAUAAUUUAUGAAUGUGUUUGAAUUUAUUGGAGGGGUUCAUGCCAGAAAUGGUUGAAAUAGCCUAAAAGACGCUUGAAUGACUACAUAAAUAUCAAAUUGAAGUAUGGAGGACUAUUAAUGAAUGGGUUAAUUAUCAACUAGGUCACUUAUUACACUAGAAAAUAUCAAGUGGAUCACUCGGAAAAUUUUGAUCUCAUUUGAAUCCCUAAAGUCAUAAAAAAUAUCAAAUAGAUAACUCUAAUAUUUUUUCGAUAAGUAAACUUUAUUUUUCAUUGAGUUCCAUACAUUUUUCUUGGCUGUUAUUAUAAUCAAAUGAAACGUUAUGAAUUCUAGUAUUUAUGAUAAUAUAUUCAUAUUUUAAGAAAUUUAUUUACUAUUUAUUUUUAAGUUUACAAUUAUUUUGUUUGAUUUAUAUCAAAUAAAUACUAAAUAAAUUUUUUAAAAUCUAAAUAUAUUAUCAUAAAUACUAGAAUUCAUAACCUUUCAUUUGAUUAUACUAACAGCCAAGAAAAAUGUGUGGAACUCAAUGAAAAUAAAGUUUACUUUUCGAAAAAAUAUUAGAGUUAUCUAUUUGAUAUUUUUUAUGACUUUAGUGAUUCAAAUGAGUUCAAAAAUUUCCGAGUGAUCCACUAGAUAUUUUCUAGUGUAAUAAGUGAUCUAAUUGAUAAUUAACCCAUUAAUGAAUUGAACAGACAUUGAUGUUGUGGUUUCAUGUAGGCGGAAAUUAUUAUAUAGCUUCUUCUUUUUUAUGUUGCUUAAUACAGAGUCUUUAAACUUUAGGAGAUCCUGUAGAGGAAUUAUGAAUCAUGAUAUGCUAUAAAGACUAUAUUUUUCGUCUGGGCAUACUUUUAGGCAUCAAUUAUUGACACAAAAAGAAACAAUUAGGUGAAUCGAUU